UCGACGUGGAGGCUGAGGCCGAAUGGUA
rnacentral:sRNA from 1 species